CCUACGUGAGGCAGCAGUAGGGAAUAUUGCUCAAUGGGGGAAACCCUGAUGGUGCGACGCCGCGUGGGGGAAUGAAGGUCUUCGGAUUGUAAACCCCUGUCACGUGGGCGCAAAUUAAAAAGAUAGUACCACAAGAGGAAGAGACGUCUAACUCUGGGCCAGCAGCCGCGGUAAUACAGAGGUCUCAAGCGUUGUUCGGAAUCACUGGGCGUAAAGCGUGCGUAGGCUGUUUCGUAAGUCGUGUGUGAAAGGCGCGGGCUCAACCCGCGGACGGCACAUGAUACUGCGAGACUAGAGUAAUGGAGGGGGAACCGGAAUUCUCGGUGUAGCAGUGAAAUGCGUAGAUAUCGAGAGGAACACUCGUGGCGAAGGCGGGUUCCUGGACAUUAACUGACGCUGAGGCACGAAGGCCAGGGGAGCGAAAGGGAUUAGAUACCCCAGUAGUC
rnacentral:rRNA from 1 species